rnacentral:lncRNA from 1 species
CCUCGACUCUCUUCCUUCCCUUAGACCCUAUAUUGAAGUGCGUAAUAUGCACUAGAGUCUAAUACUCAACUGGAAGAAAACAAAAUAGUAAGAUCAAAUUUGAGCAACUCGAUAUAUCUUCUAAAGGUAUGUCUAUAUUUUUUUAGGCUUUCUAAGUAUGUACUUCUGAACUUUUCAAGAUCCCUUUAGUUACCAACAUAUUGACCAAUUCAGUUAAGGUGCUACAAUAUUUAUUUAUAUAAUAGUUUUACAAAGUAUCCAUAUGAAUCAGAAGUUGCA